rnacentral:rRNA from 1 species
AGAGUUUGAUCAUGGCUCAGGAUGAACGCUAGCGACAGGCUUAACACAUGCAAGUCGAGGGGCAGCGGAGAGGAAAGCUUGCUUUCCUCUGCCGGCGACCGGCGCACGGGUGAGUAACACGUAUGCAACCUGCCUCUGUCCGGGGGAUAAUCGGAGGAAACCCCGUCUAAUACCGCGUAAAUCGCCGUGGGGCAUCCCGGGGCGAGGAAAGGUCGCAAGACCGGACAGAGAUGGGCAUGCGGCGCAUUAGGUAGUUGGGGGUGUAACGGACCACCAAGCCGACGAUGCGUAGGGGUUCUGAGAGGAAGGUCCCCCACACUGGUACUGAGACACGGACCAGACUCCUACGGGAGGCAGCAGUGAGGAAUAUUGGUCAAUGGGCGAGAGCCUGAACCAGCCAAGUCGCGUGGAGGAAGAAGGUGCUAAGCAUUGUAAACUCCUUUUACCGGGGAACAAAAGCCCUCACGAGUGGGGGUGUGAGUGUACCCGGAGAAAAAGCAUCGGCUAACUCCGUGCCAGCAGCCGCGGUAAUACGGAGGAUGCGAGCGUUAUCCGGAUUUAUUGGGUUUAAAGGGUGCGCAGGCGGCGCGUCAAGUCAGCGGUAAAAUGUCGGGGCUCAACCCCGGCCGGCCGUUGAAACUGGCGUGCUCGAGUUGGAGAGAAGUACGCGGAAUUCGUGGUGUAGCGGUGAAAUGCUUAGAUAUCACGAAGAACUCCGAUUGCGAAGGCAGCGUACCGGCUCCAUACUGACGCUCAGGCACGAAAGCGUGGGGAUCGAACAGGAUUAGAUACCCUGGUAGUCCACGCAGUAAACGAUGAGCGCUAGAUGUUCGGUUCGAAUGAGGACUGAGUGUCACAGCGAAAGCGUUAAGCGCUCCA